ensembl:lncRNA
GGGCGGACGACGCGGCCCGGAGCGCGGACCUGAGAGCAGCGCUGGGUAACGGCCGCGGCCACCGUCCUGAAGGUGCCCAUGCUCCCGGCAGGCUUCCGCGUAGUCGCUCGCUGCGCGGCCGGAUGAGUGCGGCGGGUGCUGGACGCCAGGGCCGGGGGCAGAGGGCCCGCCGUGUUGAUGUUAUUGUUUGGCCGCCGCCGCCUUCUUCUCGGCCGUGACCCCUCCGGGUGGGGGCGGCGGGCCAGCGGGCCAGUGGGCGGGCGGGGGCGCAGGAACAAUAGCUGCCUGGGCGGGGGACGUAGGACCCCGGCUGCCGCCCCAGCGCCGCUCCCGCCCCAUUCAGGUCCCGCAUCCACGUCGCGAGUAGAAAAUGGAGCUGGCGGGUGGCAAGUUGGGAACACUUGGGCGAAGGUCGGGACCGCGCUCGCGUCGUCGGGUCCCCACGCCCGCCCGGCGCCCGCGGGGUCCUCGUCUAGCUCGCGGAAGCUCCUUUGUGUGGACGCGGGCGUCUACAACGCGAGGAGGAUGCGGUGCUCCGGCCUGGGCUGCGGGGACCGGACCCGGGUGCGGGGUGCGUGUCCCGCUCGCCGGGCUGCGGGGGCCGGCGCGCCUUUCUAGACUGGAAGUUACUGGGCCGCGACCUUUUGACUCUUUCAGCUCCCUGGGCUGUCUCUUUGUCUUGCAUUUGGGUUCCCCAUCCAGAAGUGGCAGAACCAAGACCAUUUCAAAGUACAGUUCUCUUUUCAUUUUCGAAAGUUCCCCAUCUUUACUGUAAAUUUAGUAAUCCGUUGACUACACAGCAUCGGACAGUCUCCAAUGGUUACUAUUUUUACCUCUGAAAUUCAGUGAUGUUCCCAGAAGAAUUCUGGCCUGUCAGCCCAUUGUUUUGAGAUAAACAUCCAGUGUAUACCUCCUUGGCAAUGAGAACAUCUGCUUAUUUCAUUCAUUCAUUCGGCAGCUGUUCAGUACUGUGUCCAAUCAGAGAAGUUUGAAGGUAAAGAGAAAUAUCCCUAAAUGGAAGAGGAUACUUUAACUGAAAUGUAAUAGAUGUGCCUUUAAAUAAGAUGAUUAUAUAAGGUGGGUGUCAGAGAAGGUAGAGUUAUAUACUCUGGCUCAUUUUACUGUUUUUUAGCAGUGUGUCUCGGAACUUCAGGAGCAAUUUUAUAUUAGUAAGUAGAGUUGGAUUUGGCCUAAAUGUACAGCAGCUUUUAUUUCCAAAUGUAUUUGUUCUGGUCUGGCAGUUACCUGUAUAGUUACUCAUAUUCCCCUGCUGGGCUUACCCUUAACCUUGGGAGGUCAGACGCUCUGAGUGAACAAGCUCUUGGAGGCACAAAAUAAGCAGUUGAGUUGGGAUUUCUUGAGGGCAGGCCUAGCUUGCAGCUCUGUUCCAGCCUGGAGUAUAGUAAGUGUUCAGAAGAAGGUGGAUUGAGGAAAAGCUCUUUAUAAUUGUGAAUACUUAAAAUUGAGCAUUUACAGAAAACUUAAUAUUCUCCUUGGAGUUUGGAUGCUUCAUGUAGACUGUCACUUCCAGAUGGCUGACUAAUCGGUUCGUAUAGUACAUUAUCUGUUGUGACAACAGGGCUUUUGAAUCACUUCAGUGUCAGUUUUCGUCCUGGCAUUUCUAGGCUAUUCCAAAGCAAAACCUUGUCUAAAUGUUUUUAGUAUGAUUAAUAAAGGAAUGUAUGUUAUGAGACGUGUGUUUUUAUGUGUAAUCAGUUGAGUAUCCUCAUGGUGAGAAUUCCAACUGCUCCAAAAUCUGAAUCACUUCUGGUCCUAAGCAUUUAGAAAAGUGAUACUCAACCUGUGUGUAUAUGUGCACGUACAGACUUGUAUGGUGGUACUGUAUAUCGUAUGACUGUUUUUAUUUUGUGAAUAUUAUUUGAAAGGUUUUUGAUGACUCCUUUGUUUUAACUAGUAAAGUAAAACAAAAGAAACAACCUGCAUAAAUGUUUUAUUAAAAACACUUAAUUUCUAAUUACAUUUUAGAAAUGCUUACUAGAAACGUUGUCAUGCGCUGUUACUGUUGGUAAAGUAUAUGGGCCUGAAAUUCAGUAAUACCUGUUUAUUCAAGUUGUAGCACUUUUCCAAUUCACUAUUUAGUAUGUGUUAGCAUUUGUUUUGGAUAUGAAGGAAUUUAAAGUGAACUUAUUUGAUCUAAGUAGAAAUGAAGAAAUAAAAUUAAUAUCCUUUUAACGUAAGUGUUAAAAAUCUUCAGACACCAAACUUUAAUUGCUUUACCUAGUUAAGGUAUGUUAGAUUUCAGUAAGGAUUACUGAUUUAAAAAAAACAAAACACCUUUUUGUGUAAGCUCACAGUUUAUGUUCAGAACCAGAGUUAAUGUUCUGUUUACUACAUAUUGUUGGUUUUUGAAAAUAACAGCUUUAUUGAGAUUUAUGUAUCAUUAAAUUCACCCUUGUGUUGUGUACAUUUCCUUGGUUUUAAAUAUUUUCAGAGUUGUACAUUGAUUACCACUGUCUAGUUCCAGAAUCUUGUCAUCACCCCAAGAAGAAACCCCAUGCCCAUUAGCAGUCACUCCACAUUCUAUUCUAAAUUAUGUUUUAAAGGAAAAGAGAAGAGUCUGUUAGGAAAUAUAUUUCUUGAAUGCGUUUGAAAAGGUCUCCCUUUAAGUAUCCUGGCACAAUGGAAAACUAUAUCUUUCAUAUUCCUUUAGGUCCUGAGGGAAAGGCCACUUGGAAAUUACUAUAAGGAUAAAUUGUAUUAAAAUUGAGGUUCAAAUUUUAACUAUUUGCUCUAUGCCUAAUAUGAAGAUUACCUUAAGAUACUGGUGCUCAGUGAAAUAAUUUACUUUGUUGUUAAAUAACUAGUCCAUAACUAUCCUAGUGGUAUUUAAGAGAUUGUUGAAUAGGAGCCUACUUCUAGUUGGUUGUUUUGGCAGUGAGUUGAGUUUUGACAUUUGAAUCAUCUACAUGAUUGAGAUGCUUUGUUGCACCUGUGGAAGCUCUCUUAAGUCUCUGGUCAAGACAGUGGUAUUGGGUAGUGGCCUUUCUGAUUCAUGUAGUGUAAGGAAGUCAUUAUAAGCAAAUAGCUUUAGAUGUGACUCAUUUGCCUGUUUCGUUGAACUGUGGUUAUUGUCUUAAUCAUGAGCUCUUUACCUGAAUGUUUUGGAAGCUUUACAUUCUUGCUCCAAUGCAAGUUACUUUUAACUUUGAUUUAAAAACUGAAUUCUGAUUCAAGAGAAUCUAUUAUCUAAAAGGUGACAUGAGUAUUGAAAUAAGAGUCAUUCUAUCAUUUAAGGCUAUAGUGGAACUAAAGCAGUCCAGGUAUCAGUCCUGGGUUCACUUUGGACUUUUAUCAUCAACAAGCUCUGGAGCCUUAGGCAAGUUGUUUAACCACUCUGAUUUUAGAACUGUAAAGAGAGGCUGUCAGAGCUCCUUGUUUUAUAGAAGGCUGUUCCCCAGUUAUGUGGUUCUUCACAGACUGUUUAUAAAGAGACCAUGUAGGGUGAUUAUCAUGAGCUCCAGUCAUUGACAGCAGUCAAAGAGCUGCUCAGUGGUAAAAUGUCUGCCUAACAUGUUCAAGCCCCUGGGCAGGAUCCCCUGCACUGCAGUGGGAUAGGGGUGGGGAUGACAAUCAAAAUUACCUUGUAUUUUCAGAAGCACAGAAAAUUGUUACUCUUUUUCUCUAAUAUCUCUGGACUUAUAAAACAAAAGCUUCACUAAUAAGCUAGAGGUUCUGUGAAUGGUAGAUUUUGAUCAUUAGGCACCGCGUCUUCUGAGACUCAGUGACAUUUUUUCAGAGACUGUGGAAAAUGUGAAAGUGAAGAGUUCAUUAGCCUCAAGCUUAUGAUCAAGGAUGCAACUUAAGGCAUAUCUAAACAUUAUUAUUGUCUUUUAAAAGAUGUGUAAGGGGGCUUCUCCCAAACAAAAAGCCCACUGUAAAUCUCUGAGCAGGCCAAAUUUCACUGAAAUGUGUUUUUUAAAAUUGUGUAUGCGUAAGGCCUUUCAGAGAAUUUAUUACCUGCCAUUAUUUUUCAAAGUAGCGUGUAAUAUUACAGAUAUAACUGGUAUUUGUGUUUCCUAUUUCCCUUUAGUAAGUAUUACAUCAGACUUGAUUAAAAUCUGCCAUUCUUUAGAAAGCUAGGGAACUCAAACCUACAGGUGCCUAGGAUGGGCUUUAGGGCUAGCCCUGAGCUCUAGUCCAUGCUCCACAUCUGAUUAUGAAACAUAAGCUUGUUCAGGUUAUAAAAUGUAUUUGACUUAUCUGUCAAAUGAGAUUGGUAAUAGCACAUCACCUUAUAAAGCUGUGAGGGUUAAACAAGGUACUGCAUGUGGAGUGCCUGGGACUGAUGUGCCUGGAUGGUAGAUGGAAGUAUUCAGGACAUUUUAGUUAUUGUUUUUGCAUAUUUUUAACUUGGAACAAAAUGCCCGGUAAAUUUAAAAUAAUUUUAAUAUGCAGUUUAUAUUCCAAUUCUUCAGAACACACCAGUUGUUUCCUUUACAUUUCUGGCAGGGGUCAGGGAGUUAUUAAAAUUUGAUCAUCUCAUCUAAUCUGAAUUGACUGAGGUUAUUUAUGUUAACAUUUGAACCCAGGAAUCCUCUCUGCCUUAAAAUUUGAAACUAUUUCAAAAACAUCCGUUGAAAGGAUGGUAUUUGCCACAUUCUCUGAUACAGCUUUAUUUCACCUUUUUUUUUUUUUACCCUUUCCCCCAGCAGAGAAUUGCCUAAGCAUUCCUAGGUUUGUUUUAAUAUCUAAAGGAAUGGGAAUUUAGGAGCUGAGAAUAGCUUUAUUAUGUAACCCAUUUGAAGAAAAUGGAAUGCUAUCAUAUCUUCUUCUCUUUUUUUUUCCUUUACUUUAUUUUUAUUUUUUGGUAAUGAGGAUUGAACCCAGGGCCUUGUGCUUGCUAGAUAGGGACUGUACCACUGAGUUACACCUUCGCCCGAUCGUAUCUUUUAAUUUUAAUUUUAUUGGGAUUUUGUCAUGGAACUGCCUUGUAGCCAUUAACAGUUCAUUAAGCAUUUUUUAGAAUUUCUAAGUUUUUGGUUAGUUUCUGUGGUACAUUUCUUGAUCCUUCUUGAGGAUAGGAACUAUGACAUGAUGACACUGAUUUUCAAAAUGUGCUGUAUAUUGAGAAACCACUCUGCCACUCCAGUUAGUGACAUGGGAAACUGACUUCUACACUGAAAUCUAAGUCAAUCUGUACCUUCAGUGAUCUGCUUAUAACUUUGAUAGGAAAUAAGGACAAAUGUAAAUGCACGAUUUCUAACAAGGAAGCAAAUAUUGUUAGUCAUUUCACUAGGAAUUUCUUUUGUCAUUGGGACAUUUGGGGAUUUCCAAAUCUUAGCAUCUCUUGCCUGGCUUUUAAAAAUAACACUUUGAUAGACUGCAGAAAGCAAGAUGUCUUUUCUAAACUUUGGUUGUCAUUGAGAGUGUAGCACAGAGGAGGCAGAGUAAAAGUAUGAGAAGUAAAUUAUAGCUACUCAGAUACCAAUUGGAGUCCUCAAACUUGUAUGUUGACUCUGAAAACUUAAGACUGGAUUUUUGCUGGGAGCACUUUCUUAUGUUUAAUCUUUGUCUAGUAAUGAGAAAUACAGGCUUCACUAGUUCACAUCUCCUGCUGAGAUGCCCCAGACUGUCACCCCCUCAUAUUUCUGAGGACACUGGACAAAAAACCAGCCACACACACCCCUGCUUUGGUUGGCAGGAGGCAUCAAAAAUAUUGGGAAAUUGCUAUUUGCUAAAAUUUUUUGAUGGGAUAGAAAGUCACCAUUCUCAGACUUGCUCCAGAGAGGGUGGCUCAUGACUCAGAUGCUACUUGGGUCAACCAAAGUUGAAAUGAAGGAAAGCUACUGCUAGAUCUCCUGGUGACUUGAGAGAGCAUCACUUUUUCAGUCACCAAACAAAACCCAAAGUACCUAGUAUUGUCCCAUCUACUACUGAGAAUUAAAAGAUUUAUUUACAUUUUAUUUUCAUUUUGACUAAGUACUGUAUUCACUUUGAUUCAGAGUUCCAAAGAUUGAAAAAGAGAUAAAGAAUCUCCUUUUCAUUCUGUACAGCCACCAGUUCCUCCACCAGGAAACAGUGUUUAGUGGGACUCCUUCCAGAGAUAGGUUAUAUUUGCAAAAGUAAUGCAGCUGUAUAAAUCUUUGUCCAAAACCCUUGAUCUAGAUGUAUUUCAGAAUAUUUUUUUUUGCAAUUGUAGCAAGAUAGUAUAGUGUAUCUACCAUAUUAACCAAAAUCCUUAAUGGGAAAUGGUAAUCAAAAACAAUGAUUCCCUAUUGAAAAUAUAAAUAGUACAUCAAGUGGGAUGGAUAGAGCUUAUAAAGCCCUUUUUGCCAGUUCCUGUCAAAUUUGGCUGCCAAAUAUGUUUGUACUAAACUUUUUUAAAAAACAUCUUCUAUUUUGAAUAGAUUUUGGUCUUGCCAGUCAGUAACUAUUCCUCACAUAUGUAGUGUGUAUUCUCUUCCCCCUUCCCCAAUCCAAGUUGUUGGAUACAAUGUACACUGCCCAUUGCCUUUAUUCUCAAUAUAGUUUAGAGAUUAUUUUCUGUUAUGUACUGUAAAAAGCAUGUUUCCUUCUCCCUCCACUUCUCUCUUUUUAAACCUCCUGGUAUUCUGUUUGUCAAUCAGUUUGGGCUGAUAUAACACAAUAUCAUGAAAUAGGUGGCUUAAACAAAAGAAAUGUCUUUCUCACACAAUUCAAGAAGCUGGGAAGCUCAAGACCAGGAUACUAAGCAGCUUGGUUACCUGGUGAGAGCCUCCUCUUCACUUGACCAGCUCAGUUCCCUAGUAGACCCCUGCCUUCUACCUGCAUCCUCAUGUGGUCACAGAGAGCUCUGGUGUCUUUGGACACUACUUUCAUUGUGGUCCCCACCUUUAUGAUCUCCUGGAAACCUUGUUACUUCCCACAGCCCACACCUCUGAAUACCAUCACAUUGGAUAUUAGGGCUUCAACAUAUGCAUGGGAGGGGCCACACAAAUGUUCAGUUCUUAGCACCAUUACACAAAUGUACCAUUUAAUUAAUCAGCUCCUUUUUAUGUACAUUUAGGUUGGUUUGAGUCUUGCUAUCAAAAGCUGUAGUGUAGUGGAUUACCUUGUGUAUGCAUCAUUUUAUGCUUACAUAGAAAUGUACAGGAUAAAUUUCUAGAGGUGUAAUUAUCAGGGCAGAGCAUAUGUGCAUUUGUAGUUUCGCCUUAUAUUGCUUAAGUGCAGCCUUUAGAGGUUGUCCAGGUUAUAUUCUCCCAGCACUAAGGACACUGCUUCUUUCCUGUUCACCAUUAUGAAUGAGAUAGAUAGAACAUUUUUCAAGAGUUAAUUGUAUUUUCUUUUUUUGUGAACUGUUGCUAUCCUUGCAUAUUUUUCUGUUGCUCAUUUUCUUAAAUUGUAUUUAUUUUUACAUGACAGAAAUUAAUUCCAUGCUAUUUCUGGAGAUUUUUUUUAAACCUAAUUUGCUGUUUGCCUUUCCUACCCCAAGAUGGUAUGAAUGAACCAAGUGUUAUUUAUUUAUUUAUUUAUAACAGGUGACUGUUGAGUUAUGUUCACGUUAUUUAAUAAACAAUCCAUGUUGGUCUUUUUAAAAAUACCACCUUUAUCAGUUACUGAAUUUUCAUGUGUAUUGUACCAUUUCUGUUCCAUUGACUCAUCUGUCUGUUUAGGAACCAAGCCACCCUGUUUUAAUUUUUUUUUUUUUUUGAGAUUUGAAGGAUUAUUUAACAUUAGCAUUUUAUAGAAUAUAAACUCAUUUCAAGAGCUGAGGAAGAGAUAGUGUUUUCAGCAAAUGGCACUAGAACACCUGGUAUCCGUCUAUAAAAAAUUAACCUCAACCGUUUUUUUUCCUUACAUGAAAAUAACUUGAAAGGAUCUAUGAACCUAAAUAUGAAAGCCUAAAAGUAUAAAACUUUAAGAAGAAAUUAUAAGGGAAAAUGUUUAUGAAUUCAGGGUAGGCAAGAACUACCUAGUAUACAAAAAACAUGAUGUAUAAAAGAAAAAAAUUGAUAAAUGAGAUUCCAUCAAAAUUUAGAACUUUAAAUGACAUCGUUAAAAUGAAAAGUAGUCCUUAAACAGACCAUAUUUACAAUGCAUAUAACCUAUGACCAGAAUAUAUAAAGAAUUCUUAGAGCUCAUUAAUAGACAACCUCAUUAAAAUGUAGACAUAAGAAGAUGAUAAAUAGCCAGUAUAGCACAAGGAAUAGUGUGCAACUCUAGAAUCAGAAAAAUACUAAUCAGUACAAUAAUAAGAUUGAAUUAUACACUCAUUAGGGAGAUGAAGUCAAAAGUUGUAAAAGCCUUGUCAUGACUUUUUCUUUUUUGUUGGAUUCUCCCCCUUUGCGUUUAAUUUGUCACGCCCAAUGGAUUCAUUCUGCUGGGUUUCCUGGGGUUGUGGUCCUCAUUGUCUUUUCCUAGGGUAUUGUCUAAAAUUUUUUGGAGUGCCAGUUUGAUAUUCAUGAAGUUCCUGAGGUGCUCUUUAUCAUGAAAGUAUCUUAUUUCUCCAUCAAUUUUGAAAGAUAGUUUUGCAGGGUACAUCAAUCUGGGUUGGAGGCUGUUUUCCUUUAGGGCUUGAAAUACAUCACUCCAAGCUCUUCUUGCCUUGAGGGUUUGCAUUGAGAAGUCUGCUGUGAUUCUUCUGGGCUUUCCUUUGUAUGUGAUUUGUUUCUUUUCUCUCACUGCUUGUAGAAUUUUGUUCUUCUGUUGGAUUUCUGGAAUCCUAACUAUUAUAUGCCUGUGUGUAGAUUUUUUUUUUGAUCAAGGCUAUUGGGAGUCCUAUAUGCCUCACUUAUCUGUAUGUCAAGAUCUUUUCCCCUCCUUGGGAAGUUUUCUGCCAUCACUUCUGUGAACAGUUUUUUAUGUCAUCUGCACUCUCUCCUCUUUCCUCAUUGACUCCAGUCAGCCUUAUGUUAUUCUUCUUUGCAUCAUCUAGCAGCUGCUGGAUUGAUUUCUCGUGUUCCUUUACAAUUUUAAAGCAAUUUUUCUUUUCCUGGUCACUAAUUACAAUCUUUUCAUCUAUAUCUGAAAUUCUAUCCUCACAUUGGUUCAUUCUGCUGUGAAGACUUUCGAUGGAGUUUUUAAUCUCCUAGAAAUCUGUUUGUAUCUGUUUUAUGGAUUCCAUUUGUUUCCUAUGUUGGGAUCCCAUCAUGUUCCUCAGAUCCUCUAUUUUUUUUAUCUGUGUCCUCUCUAGAUUUAUUAAUCAUGUCCUGCACCAUGAGCAAAAUCUUUGCUGUUAUCUGAGUAAUUAUUUCUGAUUUCAUUUUUUCCAGAUCCUCUUUUGUUGCCAGUUCAGAGAGUCCAGGUGGUUGAGUAUCAGAUUAUUCCACCUGGUUUCCCUUUGGGGUUGCUUUAGGUGAUCCAGAAGUCUGUUUUUGAGGCUUGUUUAUGUGUCUUCUCAUUUCCACGGGGGGGUGGGGGGGUGCUUCUGGUGGCUGUGUGGCUCACCUUCUCUGCCCUAGGAGCUUGGGAUGGCAGCAGGGGAGGUUCCUUCCCAGUGCUGGGACCCGCUUAGCUUCUCUGCCCUCUGAUUCGGUGUUUUCAGCAUGACUGGCGACCUCGGGACUGCGUCCACAGACCUACCUGUCUGCAGCGUGCUGAUUCGGUGUUUUCUGUGUGACUGGCCCUGUUUUAAUUAUAACACUUAUACUGUGCUUUCUGUUAGGACUAAUUCCCUUUGAUUUCUUUUACAGAUUUUUUUUUCCGUGUUUGUUUUGUAUGAACUUUUUGAAUCAGCCUGUCUAGUCCAUUCACCUCCUCUGCCAAUCUUUUUGUCAUUUCUGUUGAGAUCACUUGAUUUUUUCCAUUAUCAAAGUCAAAUUUACUUACAGUACACUGCACAAACAUUAUACUUGAACAACCUAGCAGAAGUUGGCAUAUAUAUAAAUACACUGGUGUAACUUUCAGGUCAAGAUACAGAACAUUUCCAUUACUGAGUUUCCCCAUAUCCUUUCAAGUUGGUAGUUUCUUCACUUGUCCCUGACUGUGUUUGACUUCAAUUAAUAGAUUCAGUUUGACAUUAGAACUUUUUAAUAUGAGAAUUUACAGGUUUAUGAUAUUGUGGAAAUCUUAACCUUUAUGUUUGUUGGAGUUUUUUGGGAGAGUCCCUAAGCAUUUUAAAGUUUUUUUCCUAUCAGUUUUCUAUGUUUAAAUUUUUUGUGUCACUCAUUUUUCUUGCUGUUGAAAAUAGCAUCUUUUUCAUUUUCUUAUUCUCUGUAUAUAAGAAAGCUGUUUAUUUUGUGUAUAGGUAAUAUUUUCUAUAUUAAAUUAUAAGCCCCCUUUUUAUUUUUUAGGUAUAAAUCAUGCUGACUUUUUUGUUUCCUUUGAAUUUUUACCUCCUCUCCCCAACUUUUAUACCCCUAUUUUUUCUUUUAGAUAUUGAUAGCAGUUAUUUAAGAAGUUUGCAGUUUUCUUUCAUAAUAUGUAAAACAAGAACUACAAUAUCUUAUCUAUAUAUUUAAGUAAGACAUGAGUAAUAAUGAAAUUGGGGUGAGAUUAUUGUUAUUAGAGAUUAAAAAUUGGGCAGGUAUAAGUAUUAGAGUAGUAUGAAAUUGUCUCUAAAGCUAAUGUAAAUAUAUUUUAAAUAAAUUCUUUUAAAUGGACAAGUUGGUGAUCAUUUGAUAUGGAAUGCAGAAUUACUAAUUCUUAAUUUUCUUGGGUCUUACUUGACACAUUUGGACUGCUUUCUGUAGCAGCAGAACCUAGAGACAGUUUCCAGAAAUGUAGCUUAAUUUGCUGCCAGGGAACAUACAGCCAAGUUAGAGGUCAAGAUCUGGAGCAGUGAGAAUUAAGUGUGUGAAAAAGAAGGUGUUAAUGCUUAGAAAAUGGUUUUUACAAGGCCAGGGAUUUAGCGCAGUGGUUCCGCUGCCUGCCUUGCAAGUGCAGGGUCCUGAGUUCGAUCCCCAGUACCAAAAAAAGAAAAAAGAAAAUGGUCUUGACAAAAAUAAGCAGGUCAGAAAGACAUGGAGAUGGAGGAGGGGAAGGGAGUGUGCCUUGGCCCUAGGUUUGCAGUAACUUAUCUUUAUGAAAUUAUGUGGUACUUGGUUGAAGAUACCUAGCUGUAAUUCAGUAGUGAUCUCACUUAUUAAUGGAGAGUACAUAGUUUAUUUUGUCUUUCCUCUUUCGAACCCUGCCCCCUAAAAAAAGCUGAAGCAGUUUACUAUUCAAGGACCCAUACAUUGUUGAGUAAGGUAGAAACAAAAAAUUAGAAUCCAGGGAAAACAGGAAUCUAGAAUAUCCUAAUAACAUAAUAAAUAUUCAGUGUUUAAUCAUACUCCAAGCACUGUUCUGAUGUUUUACAUGUGGUGUUUAAAUGCUCCAUGAUGAUCCUAGGAACCAUUAUUCCCAUUUUAUAGAUGAGGAAACAGGCACAAACAAAUUAUGUAAGAAGUUGUUGGUGAUCUUGAUGAACAGGUUUAUUAGAGUGGGAAGAAAGCCAAAUUGAAGUUGGUUAAAAAGCAGUGAAUGCGAUUUUUUUUUUUUUGGUCCUGGGAAUCAAACUCAGGACCUUGCACUUUCCAGGCAGGUGCGGUGCCACUAAGCUAAAUCCCCAGCCCCCUAAUGCAUUUUUUUUUAAAAGAGAAAGGAGCAAGUGCAGAUUGAUGGAUGUAGACAGUUUUUUCAAGAUAAUUUUGAAGUGGAUGGGUAAAGGAAAACAUGGGGUCCAAACAGUGAGAAAAGGAGAAUGUCCAGGAAAGACAUUACAGGGAAGAGACAGUUUGGCUCCUGUCUCUAAGACACAGUUUGAAGAGAAAUCCUUCCAGGGAAGUUUGGUGAUUAGAAAAUGGAAGUUUAGACUACUGCCUUUCAUCCCUUGUGGCUUCUGUUUUCUCAAUGAUACAGGAGAUUCACAUGCACAGAAAGGGAUGGGAGUAUGGGGAGUUUGAAGCAGUUUGCCAAGAGGUAUUGAUUGUUCACUUAAGGCAUGAAAUCUUGAAUUUAAAGUGGUAUCAGUCUGCAUUUGUGAUUGUUUCCAGCAUUAACUGAUUAGAUAUGAGUACAGAUAAGGCAGACAGUUGGAUUUAUCCAGAGUGAGGUUUGCCAGGGGUAUCAGUCAUCAUGGGCCAGAGAAACAGCCAGUAGGAGAUGUAGAUGGAUGGAUAGACUACCUGAGAUUUCAAGGAAUUGUGAGGAUUGCAAGUCUGAAAUCUGUGGAGCAGAUCGGCAGGAAACUCUUGGACCAAGCUAAUGCUGUGGUCUUGAGGCAGGAUAUUAUCUUCCUAUUGGAAACCUGUUUUCACUUUAAAGACUUUCAACUUCUUAAAUGAGGCCUGACCAUAUUAUCAUUAUCAAGGAUAAUCUUCUUUCUGUACUUAAAAUCAGCUCAUUAUAGAUAUUAACCACAUCUACAAAACAUCUUCAUAGGAUUACCUGGAUUUGUGUUCAAUAUAAUGACUGCAUACUGCAGUGUAGCCAAGUUGACACACAAAGCUAAACAUCACAUUAAGUCAGUUAAGAGAAGGAAAAGUGGACAAGGGAAAAAGAGAGCUUAAAGGGAAUGCUUAGAGAAGUAAUGCUGAAUUAUAACACCUAACAUUGGGCAGUAAAGGAGAUGAGGUGAGAAUGUUUAGUAUGAAUAUGGUAGCACCAAGGUAAUGGAGUUUUCAUUUAAAAUUACUGUAGGGGGCUGGAGGGUAAGUAAGUGAACCUGCAGGAUUGGAUGUCAUGAUCAAAAGGGGAUGCCUGAAAGAAAGGUUUCACAAGGGUAAUAGUUCCUGUCAUUGAUAAAACCCAGGAUGCUUUUGGGUGUGGACUGCUAAGGUGGAAAUGAAGGACAAAUCUGUGCAUGUGAGGAAGCCAAGGGAUUAGAGUGGGGUUAGGAUGUAGCUCAGGGUAGAUUACUUGCCUAACAUGAGUGAUGCCCUGUGUUUGAUCCCCUGGCACCCCACUUCCACCCCCCAAACACACAGAAGGAGGAAGGAAGGGAAGGAGACUAAUUAAAAGGGUCCAUCUACAUGAAAGAUGAAGUCAGAAAAUGGUGAUAAGAGUUAAGGAUGUAUUCAGUGAACCACUUGCUAAUGUCCUUGAAGAAUGAGGGACAAUUGAAGGAAGGAUAGAUGGCAAUAAGAAAACAUAAAUACAGUAUAAAUGGUUGUUUGCUUUUUAAAAAGUAGCAAUUUCAAAAGGCCAACUGAAGCAGUUAGGGAUGAGGAAUUGGGUAAAAUGGAGGGUGAAUAGAGCGUUACAGGAAUGGCAGUUAAGGGAGAGUUGAACUUUUUCCUAUAAUUGAAGUAAGCAGAAUUGAAGUGUAGUGGGAUUAGCCUCCAUGAUAGAUGAGAAUGGUUUUUGGUUCUAGUGUUAUUGGACUCUUCAAAUGAAAUUAAAUAGAAAAUCAGAGUGUAUCACAAGUAAUAAGGAACUAAGAAUUUUUUAAACAGUUUUGUUAUAAUUCGUAUACCAUUAGAGUUCACCCAUUUGAAGUAUACAAUUCAAGGGCUUUUCAGUACUGAACAUUCAUGUAGCCAUCACCACAGUUCAGCUUUAGAACAUAUUUGUCAACCCCCAGAAAUGCACCUCAUGCUCAUUAUCAGUCACUCUCCCCUUCCCCCACCUCAUUCCAAAGCAGCCACUUAAUCUUCUCUUCACCAUAGAGUUGCCUAUUUUGGAUAGUUUGUUAUAUAGUAUGUUAUCAUUUGUGACUGGCUUAUUGCACUUACUGUAAGCUUUUUGAGAUUCAUUCAUCAUGUAGUAUGUAUCAGUAGUCUGUUCCUUUUUAUUGCCUAAUAUUCCAUUAUUCAGGUAUUCCACACUUUAUUUAUCUACUGUUCAGUUGAUGGUCAUUUGGAUUGUUUCCACUUUUUGGGUAAAGUUAAUACUGUCAUAAACAUUCAUGCAUAAGUUUUUAUGUGUUGUAUUUUUUUUUUAACUUGGUUAUAUACUCAGGAGUGAAAUUACUGGGUCAUAUGGAUGACUCAAUGUUUAACAUUUUGAGGAACUACCAAGCUAUUUCUCAAAACUGGUGGUACCAUUUGACAUAACUGCCAGCAAGGUGCAAAGGUUCAAAUUUCUCUGCAUCCUACUCAAGCUUGUUAUUGUCUGUCUUGAAUAGUAUUGAUUUGCAUUUCCCCAAUAGGUAGUGAUGUUGAGUAUCUUCUCAUGUGUGCAUUGGCCAUUUGUAUAUCUUCCUGGGAGAAAUAUUUAUUCAGAUCCUUUGCCUAUGUAAAAAAAUUGUUAGUUUUACAUACAAAUACUUAGACAGAUCUGUGAUUGUAAGUAUUUUCUCUUGUUUUGGGGGUUGUCUUUUUACUUUCUUGAUGGCAUUGUUUAUAGCACAAAAGAUUUUAAUUUUAAUGAAAUCAAAUGUCUGUGUUUUUAAUCUAUUAAUCUAUUUUAUCUAUCUUUGAUGGUUCUUUUGGUAUCUUAUGUAAGAAACCAUUGUCCAGCUCAAAAGUCAUGACAAUUAGCCCUGUGUUUUCUUGCAAAUUUGUUUGAAUUCCUUUGUGUGUGUGUGAAUGUGAUAAAGGGGUCAAACUUCAUUCUUUUGCAUGUGGAUAUGCAGUUGUCCUAGCACCAUUUAUUGAAAAGUACCACUCUUAAUGGUCUUGGCAUUCUUAUUUGUUUUAAUGUUUAUUUCUAUUGACUCUUGGUUCUAUUUUUAUGUUAGCCUCAUUGCAUUGAGUACUGGACCUCAGAAGUUUUUUUUUUUUGGAAAUUGUUUCAAUUAAGUAUGAGUGUAUUUAGAGAUAGAUACACACAGAGGUGUGUAUAUGUAAUAAAUUGUAAAAUCUUGGAAAACUGACUUGAGAUAUGGUAGCCCCCUGAAACAGUUCAUUCUCUUAGCAGUGUAAUGGGAUGUCUUCCUCACAGGGAACCAAUAGAUAAGGCAGUUAAAAGGGCCUGCCUAUGGGUAUAUGAAUUCCUUUUGGAUUAGAUGACUGAUUUUUCUUACUUUAGUAGAUAAAAUUUUUUUCAGGUACAUGUGGACUAAAGAAGGGCUUAGAAACAGCUGUGAGAACUCCUGAACCAGCAAUAAGAGAGGAAUUUAUGUAAGCAUUGUGGAAUGUUGUAUAAUUUGAAGUUAGUGUUUUACACUGGGCCAGUCUUUUGUGAUUGUCUUUUAAAACCACACACACACAAAUUUUGUUUGAUGUAUUAAGCAUGUCUGUAUGAAAUGCCUUUAUUAUCUGGAUCCUCUAUAAGGUCUGAUUCUGUAGGUGCUUGUGUCCUGGUCUUGUGACGUGGAUGUUUUUUAUUAUGGCAUUAUAUAUGAAAAGUAUAUGGAGGUGUCAUUUAAUGUUUGAGAGCAUCUCCUUUUAGAGAGAAUUUUUGUUUACUUUUGGCAGAAAGCUAGCUAGUGGUACCAACAGUCCUGAAUCAUCGUAAUCCAGUCAGAGAGUAAGAUAUUUUAAAAUGAGGCUCUGGAAGUCUGUAAAGGCUGGCCUAUUUUGUGUUUUAUCCCUCCUAGAAUAUGACCCUUUGGAGUUCCAACAUAAAGCCAGGGGUAUUAGCCCAUUUCCCCACUCCCACACUUUCUUGGGGUCUUAAUGGCAGUAGUCAAUCUUCCCUACCCUUGUAAAUCUGUUGAAAGUUCAUCUCAUGCAGAUGAAAACAACACUGAGAUUCCACCUCACCCCAGAAAGAAUGGCUGCUAUAAAGAAAUCGACAAAUAACAAAUGCUGGCGGGUUGUGGGGAGAAAGGAACCCUUCUCCAUUGUUGGUGGGAGUGCAGACUGGUGCAACCACUGUGGAAGUCAGUGUGGAGAUACCUCAAAGAACUAGGACUAGAGGUCCCAUUUGACCCAGCUAUUCCCCUGCUGGGUAUCUUCCCAAAAGAAUGAAAAGAAUCAUACUACAACGAUAUAUGUGCAUCCAUGUUCAUAGCAGCACAGUUUGUAGUAGCUAAAGCUUGGAAGCAACCCAAGUGCCCAUCAACUGGAAACUGGAUAAAGAAAAUGUGGUUUUUUUAAUAAAAUGGAGUACUACUCAGCCUUAAAGAACGAAAAACUAGAGUCAUCUAUAGCUAAAUGGAUGUAUAUUGAGGCCAUACUCUUAAGUGAAAUAAAUAGGACACACGUGUAAAUACCGAAUAGUUUCACUAGUUUGAGAAACUGAUAGUGUAAACAGGGUUAAAAUGAUUAAAAUGAAUAAUUGAUAAUUUGAAAUAGGAAAAAAGGUCCAAAGAUGAAGGAGUGAAGGGAGGGGAAGGGAAAAGGAAAAGAGAGAAAGGGAAAACUAUGAGAAAAGAAAAAAAAUGGAAAUGAAAUCUGUGUAAAUAGGGAAGGGUGGAGGGGUGAAGGGUGCACAGGUAAUGGGGGGGAAAAAAAAAGAACCAAGAUAUAUCAUGUACAGGUACAAACACCCAAUGAUAAAUGUAAAUGAAUUGUAUACCUAAAAUGUACCAAUAAAAGAACUAAAAGAAAAAAAAAAUGAAAGUUCAUCUCUGCAGCUACCUUUCAGGCAUUGGCAGAUACCCCUAGAGCAAAAAUGGCUCCAGGUGCCAGGCUCACUGCUGAGGAUUUCCUUACAUUUCUGGAGCUUGGUGUCUAUGCUGUUUUUCUGCCUUGUUAGUUCUGUGAUGCCUUCAGAGAUGUUUUUAUUUUAUUUUUUUUUCCUAAUUUCUCCUGGGGCCUUGGGGUGGUGUCCAGUUUUCUAGUUGCUCUCAGUAAGAGAGUAGGUCUGAAUUACCUAGUUCAACUUUGUAAGGAAAGUAAUUUGUUAACUUUAUGUCCUAAGAUUCCCUAUUUGAAAUUCUAGUAUAUGGGGUUUUAGUUUUUCCUUGGUGUGAGAUUUUGUGUGCUGGUUUCUACACAUUGUAGCAGUUACCAGAAAAAGAGGAAAAUAGGAUUAGAAAUAGAGAAGGGAAGAAAAAGCAGAGAAAAGUAGGUAUUUUUGCAGAAUUCAGGAGAGAUAAAGGUAGGGCAACAUUUUUGUUUGUUGCUGAGAAAGGGCAGUCACAUAAAAGGAAGUGAUACUUGUAUUGGCAUGUUGUUACAGUUAAAAGGCUGUGCAGUGGUGGCGAACCUAUGGCACAAGUGUCAUAGUGGGCCAUUUGUUAUCAUUGAAAGCUCUAAAAGGUUUGCCAUCACUAUAGAAUCCAAGGUAUUAUGAAGGGGGUAUUGAGCAGUCAUGUUGGGUAAAAAUUUUAAAAUUGUUCCACAGAGAAACCUCACAAUAAACUUUGAGUUAUUUUUACUUAAUUUUUAAAAUAUUCAUUAGUAUAUGUUUGCAGUACAUAAUGAUUACUUUCAUCAUGGGGAGCUGGUACAAGUACAUAAUGCUACUCAGUUCUUUUUACCUCUCCUUCCCCUCUCCUCCUUCCCUACUCCCACCAUCUCUUGGUUCCCUUCCCUUUGCAAACAUCUGUCUCCAGUUUCCUAAAUGAGAGACUUAAUUUUGGGGCUAGACUAAUAAUUGUAUCUUACAGCACACCAUAUCUGCAGCAUAACCACUGGUAUAGUAAGGGGUUGAAGAGAGAAUUUAAUUCUAUAGAACCUGUUAGAUACAUAAUAUAUUACCAGUUUUGAUUUAGGGAUCAAUUACUACCUUCAUAUGUGUAUAUAAAUGGAUUUAAAGUUUUUAUGAGUUCGUUCAAGUUCUUGAUCUUCCAUUUCCAUAUUUCCUAAACUGAAAAAUUACAAAGUUCCUGACACUUCAACGAUUGGAUUUGAAGAGGAGAAACGGUAUUUCUUUUGCAGCCUCUUCGAUCUUCUCUUGAAAAACAAGAGCUAUCAGAGAUGUUCUAUUUCAGAUGAUUUUAUCAGCAGUGUCUUGGUUAAUAUUUUAAACUUAUGGAAUAUAAGAAUUGUAUCUUAAAUUGAUUAUCUUUUUUUCAUGUCUCCUAGAGUUUGUGCAGUGUAUGUGUUACAGGAGACUGAGUUACACCUGUCCACAGAAGCCAUUACUGUUUUGUAGUGCUUUACAACUGAUCACACCUUUUGCCUUUUUAUGUGUCAUCAUUUUCCAUGCUUCUCCCAACUUAAGAAUGUCUAUAAUAGAAAAUUUUAAAAUAUAGUUAACAGUGCCGGGGAUUUAGCUCAGUGGUUCCACUGCCUGUCUUGCAAGCACCAGGACCUGAGUUCAAUCCCCGGUACCAAAAAAUAAAAAAUGUAUAUAGUUAACAGUUGUGUACUGCCAUUUGUAUACAGUAGUUUUUAGCAUUUUGUCCUCUGCAUAUCGCUCUCAAUAGCAACUUUUUCCUUCCUUCUCUUCCUCCCACCUUCCCUUUUUUCUUUUUUGUGGCCUUUGACUCAUGAAUGCUGCAUUUUGCAAGCAUCUCCUAAAAAUAAACACAUCUUCUGAAGUAUAUCAUACUUAAGGGUAAAAAAAAAUCCCUAAUAUCUAAAUUCAAGUAUUUCCAUUUGUUCCUUCAAAAGGUCGGUUUGUACUACAACCAGCCACUGUGAUCUUUUACCUUACUUCUCUAGUUCUUGUGAAGGUAUUAAAUCUGUGGACAGUUCACAGUGAUGUUUCUGCAGUGGGCUGUAGGGGAAUGUAGAUGUGCAGUCACUGGAGAGUCCUAUUCUUCCAUGUUGUCCUGCUCUUUUUCCAGCAAAAAGUCAGUCUAUGACUGGUUUUCUCUAUCCAGGAUUCAGUCAGUUAAUGCAUUGUGUUUGUUGUUGGUUUAGUCACUUUUAAUUAACAUACUACAAUUGUCCCUACCUCUGCUUUUCCCCCUCAUGGUAUUAGCUUCUUUAAAAGACCCGCUAGUUGUCUUAUAGAAUGUUCCCACACUUGUGCUUGCUUCAGCAGCACAUAUACUAGAAUGUUCCCACAUUUUAGAUUUGUGUGAUGAUUUACUUGUGGUGUUUAACUUGUAGUAUCUCUAGGCACUUUGUACCCUAAAAGCAGAUUGACUUUAAAGGCUGAGUUAUGUUCAAGAAUUUUUGGCUUAAGUGUUCUUCUGUACAUUUAUUGAUACAUAAAUACAAGACAUGAAGUUGUCUCUCAAAGGAUGAUCAUUUGGUUAAGUGGUAUUCACCAGAUCUAUCCAUUAUAAGGUGGGUUUUUCCUCCUUGUAAUUAGCAGUUGAUCAGUGAGGUGACAUUUUGGUUCCUUUUAUAAUAAAUCCUUUCUCAGCACCCUUUAACCUGUAUUUCUAGCAUUCAUUGAUUAGCUUUGUCUGAAUCGUUUAUUUCAUUUGGGCUUGCAAAACAUUCCUUUUUCUAACCCUAUUUUUUUAGGAUAUUAUAGCCAACUUUCCUUUGUUAAAAAGACCUUUCCUUUGUCAGCUAGAAUUGAACUACAGUGCUUCCUGACAAGAUAGGUUAAAUGCUUAUAGCCAUUUAAAAUGCUAGGUCUUUAUUCUGAGUAUUGGUUACUAGUCACCUUCAAUAGUGGCAGAUAACUUUCUCAAUAUUAUAGAAAUAUAUUUUUCAUUGUUCUAUCGUUUCAGUUGCUAUUCUUUUUUUUUUCCUUGAAAAGCAGGUUUGGUUUUUAGAAGUUUUAGAUUUAUAGAAAAAUUGAGGCCUAUCAUAUAACAUUUCCUGUAUACCUCAUACCCAGCAUCUCCUAUUAGCAUCUUAAUAUGGCACAUUUGUUACUGUUGGUGAAUUUUAGUCAUUCAUUAUUAUUAACUAAAGCCAACAGUGUUUUCAGUUUUCCUUAGCUUUUACCUAGUAUCUUUUUUUUUUUUUUUUUUUUUUUGCAACAUUAUCUCAUCCAGGAUACCACAGUAUAGUUUUCAUGUUUCCUUUGGAUUUAUUACCUUAAUUUCUCAGACAAUCCGUUUUGGUGACAGUAAUUUAGGUAUUUUGUUGAAUACCCUUUUACUGGACUUCGGUAUUUUUUUCUCAUUUUUAGACUGGGCUUUUAAGUUCUGAGAAGGAAGAUCACAUAAGUAAGGUGACCAUUUUCAUCACAUCAUGUCAAGAGUAAAUAUUAACUCUUGAUCACUUGGCUAGAUCACUUGAUCACGUGGCUAGGGUAAUGUUUAGGAAGUUGACUGAUGUCUUAAUUUUACAUGAAUAUUCAAUUCUUUCAUCCAAAUUUCAAGCAGAUUUACUACAUAGGAUCUUACAAGAGCCACUGAGGCUGAGUAAUCUAUACAAGAGCAACUGAGGCUUUCUGUUGAUGCUUGUAUUUCACAUCUCUCCUUAUUUCAGAAACAUUUUCCUGCUCAAUUUAUGUAUAUAGAGCCAAACUCUUCUGUGAAAACCCUGCAAGUGAUUUGUACCUAACGGUUUCGCUGUUGAGAGAUAGUUGAAUGUCACACUGCUGUAUCUUUUUAAGAAGUUUGAAAAUUGAGUAUGCAGUAUUCUGGAUUACCUUAUUUGGCCUUUCUGUACAAUUAUUUCAUCAUUUUUUAAAAAUGUUUGAACUUUAGCUUUAUGGUUUUUUGUAUGUUUCUAUAAUACAAAUAUUCUUCUAACAACCUUUAUGUAAAUACUAUUAUUCUCCUUCUAUUAAAGUGAGAAACUUACGGAGGGUGAAGUUAAGUUGCCCAAGAUCAUACACUUUAUGAGUGGUGGUCCAGAGUCUGAAUUCAGACCUCAGGCUCCUCUUCUCUUUUGGUUAAGUAGGAGAGUCGUCUGUGAUUCCUUAUCAUGUUUUCCUUUUUCUGUAGAUUCAUUACAGUCAGUAUAAUGGGUGUCACUCCUGUUAGCAGAUGCCUUAGUGCGGCAUUGGAAGCACCAAGUAUGUAAGCAUUAGUUUUUUGAGAUUCCUAAUGGAGAAAUUUAGAACCUUGUAUUUCAAUACUUUGAUUUAGUAGCCUUUUGCUGUAACUCUUUUUGGUGAAGAGACAGACAUUUUCAUGAAUAAUGGUAAUGUUUAAAGAGAGUGAGCCACACCCCCACGCUCCUACCCCCAGUAUUGUAAUCGAACCCAGUACCUUUGCACUGAGUUACAUCCCCAGGCCUGUUUUAUUUUUUGAGACAGGGUCUGAAUUGCCAAGGUUGGACUCAAACUUGCAGUCCUCCUGCCUCAACUUCCCAGAGUAAUGGUACUACAGGUGUGUGCCUUCAUCUCUGGCUGAGGUCUUUCUUUUUAAAAGUUUGUUAGAUUCAUUUAAAGUAUGAAUUUUAAAGUAUUAUAUUUGUGAUGAUAUAAGAUUAAAUGAUAAUAAGUAAAAGCAAUGACAUAAAGAGUACUAAACGUAUUUCAUUGGUGCAUAUAGUUACUGCUGGCACUGUAGAAUUAUUAUUUUAUGGAAAGAAUAUAUUUCACCAGUAGUCUUACAGCAAACUUUUUAGAGCUUUCAGAUACAAAUAGCCUGCUGCUGCAUGUAUGCUAUAGGUUCGCCACCAGUGUCCUAGAGUUUUGGAUCAGAUUUCUGUAUUUCAAUUUUUUGAUAUGUUAACAUGGUGUCCAAUGCCUCCUCCUUUCUGGUUUUUGUCCUUGUUCUCUGCCUUGUAGCAGUUAGUAAAGCCUUCUAGGUCCCUCAUAUCAUAGCAUGUUGCACACCCCCCCGUUUUACUCCCCCCUCAUUAAGUUUAUUUGUUCAUUUUAGGUAUAAAAUAGUUACAUUCAUCAUUGGGAUCUUGUACCAUUACAUGAGUAUCUUGGUUCUUAUUUUCUUCCCCUUCUGUUGCCCUCCUUUCACCCCCUCCACCCUUCCCUAUUUACAAAGACUUUGUUUCCAUUUUUUUCCUUUUCUCAUAUUUUUUCUUUUCCCUUCUUUCCUUUCCCCUACCCCUCCCACUUCCCCUGCUCCUUUAGACCUUUACUUCCUAUUACACAAUAUCAAUUAUGCAUUUUUAAAAUUACAAUAUCAAGAUCUAGGAGACAUUACCACAGAUUUUACAGAAUUUAAAAGGAUAUAGAAAGCAUAUUACAAAAAUCUGUUUUGAAAUAAAUUGGACAACUUCUAAGAAGUACCUUGGAAGACAAAUUAAUGAAACUCUGGAGGAAAUAUAAAAUUUGAAUAGCACCUAUUAAAGUAUAUUCCUAGCUUGAAAACCUACCUAUAUGACAACAGCAGGCUCAUAUACAUUUUAACUGAUAAAUUAUAUCAAACAUUUAAAGCAGAAAAAGAGAGGAACACUUCUCCCCUCAUUUUAGGAACUCAACAUUGUGCUAAUCCUAAAACUGGAUAAAGAUAAUAGAAGAAAAAAGUAUGAACAUAGAUAGAAAUUUGUUUAACAAAACAAACUAUUAGAAGUCAGAUCCGGCAGGAUGUAGAAAGUGGUUUUAUUAUAAGGAUGGCAGUGUUGGUUCAGCAUUGGAAGAUCCACCCCCAAAAGUCAUCAUUUUAACAGAGGAGAGGAAAAAGCCAUAUGAUCCUAUCACUAGUUGGAGAGAAAGUAUUGGACUAAAUUCUACAGCUGUCCAUGGUGAAAGCUAUCAGGAGACUAGAAGUAGAACAGAGCCUUCUCAACAGAUCAAAGAUACGUACUCCAUACUUCCAGCAAAAACACCUUAUAUGAAUGGAAAACAUACAAUGCUUUCUCCCUAAGGUGAGGAACAAGGACAGAUAUGGCUACUCUUCAUCUGUCCAUUAAACUUUGAAACAUAGGCCUAAACCAAAAUAGUCUGGCAAUAAAAUGACACAAUUAGGAUAGGAUUGGUUCUCCUCCUCCUGCGCACUGGGAUUGGCUCACAUCCUCUGCCCUAGGAGCGGUGGAAUGGUGGCAGGGAGCCUCCUCCUGGGCACUGGGAUUGGCUCACCUCCUCUGCCCCAGGAGUGGUGGAAUGGUGCCUUGUUUUACUUUUUAAAACAAGGUCUUGCUGUGUAGGUUGGCAGGCUUUGAGCCAAUGAUCUUCCUGCCUCAGCCUCCUUUAGAAAAAAUGAAGGCAAAUACAUAUAAAUAUUGGGGGGGAUAAAAUGAUCAAAAAUCCCCAUAAUAUAACUAUAAUAUUUUUGUAUGUUUCUUUCUUUAUACUUUGAGUGUGUGUAAGAGAGAACAUCUUUAUGUGCAUGGAUACAUAGUUACAUAUUCAUGUUUAUAAGGAUCCAACAGUCAUAUUAGCAUACAUUAAUUGGGGGCUAGAGUAGUAAUACCUGGUUUGAUUUGAUUAGCAAUAAAGUCUAAAAGAAAACAGACUUCCUGCCUGGCUGUGGUGGUGUGUGCCUAUAAUCGUAGAACUUUGGGAACUUUGGGAAGCUGACAUAAAAGGAUCACAAGUUUCCGCCUAGCCUGGGCAUCAGCAAGACCUUGACUCAAAAUAAAAAGUAAAAAGAACAUAGUUCAACACAAAGACCUUGGGUUCAAUUCUCAGUACCACCACCACCACCAAAAAAAAAAAAAAAAGUUGCUUAAAAGAAAUGGGUGACCUUGGUUGGCAGUGAGAAUUUUUAUAAAGUAAGAGAUUUGGCAACAUUAAUUUUUGUAGCUUGUCAUCUACUAAGGCUUGUUAUCAUCUCUUAAUUCUAACAUGAGAAAAUACAGGAAGGGAUUUCAGGGAUAGUGUGAAGUCAGAACUGUUUUCAUAGUAAUACUAAGGUUAUUUGUCUUUUUUAUGUCUGUUUCAAGAGUUUUCAGGAGGUCAUGUGACCUGACCUGUGGUGUGGCAACACACACAAUGCAGAAGCAAGUAAUGGAACCCAGCUGUCUGAAAUUAUUUGCAAUAAUGUAAAACACUGGCACUUUCUUCACUAGAUUUUUUACAAAAAAGUUACCAUCUAUCAAAAUGCUAAAAUGUGAUGGAUUAUUAUUUUAAAAUAGAUUUUUAUUAAGUGCUCAUUUGUCAUAGCUAGCAUAGUAAAUAUUGAUAGGUAUAAACAACAUAAAUAAAAAUUUUCUGAUAAGAAAGUUCUCUCCAGAAUUUUAAAGAGUGUAAAAUACUGGUUCAGUGAGGUCUGCAGAGUAUUUCUCGAUCUCACCAUUGUCAUAGUGUCUGAGAACUCAUAGGCCACCAGGAAGCUUCAUCAGUGUCAGGUAUUUGAGGGCCAAGAUUUAGACAGUUCACAUUUGGGUAGGAGUAUCAAUAAAAUUGUUAAAUUUCUAGCCAUACUGAUAAAGUUUAAAAAAAAACCCAUAGAUGAUUGAUACUGAAUGAAACAGGAUAUGGGAAUGUAUCCUGCCAAUAUCAAAAGAAUAAAGUUAUAUUAUAAACGACUGUGUAUUACCUAAGCUACUGAAAUGAAAUGGAUACAUUGACAAACACAAGAAGAAAGCUGUGUGUAUUUAUUUAAAAAAUUGAAUUUGUAAGAAAAAGCCUUCCCAUAGGGCCUAUUUCAUUAUAAGGAAAUACUGAUUUUAUAGGGUCACUAUCCCUAAAGCAGCUAUUCUUAAAUCUUUUACUCUUGGACUAUCUGUAUUUAUUCUUAAUAAACACUGAGAACCUAAAAGAUUCUUUGUUUAGGCUACAGCUAUUGACAUUUACCUUAUUAGAAAUUAGAACUUUAAGCCAGACAAUGUGGUGUAUAACUGUAAUCCUAGCACUUGGGAGGCUGAGGCAGGAGAGUUGUGAGUUAGAGCCUGGGCUACAUGGCAAGAUCUUGUCUCCAAAAGGAAAAGGAAAAAAAGGAGAAGGAUUUAGAACUUUAAAAAAUAUUUGUCAACUAAUUCAUUUAUGAGAUAAUAAAUUUAACAUGAGUGUUUUUAUAAAAAUAACUAUUUCCCACAAGAAGAAAACAGUCUGUUGUGAUGUCACAGAUCAUUAAACCCCUAGAAGACUCAGCUGUAGUCUUGUAACAGGAUGAGUGGAAAAAGCAAGUGGCGGACAUUUCUGAGGUCAACACUUUUGUCUUUUAGCGCUUUAGAGUUGUAGGUUUUACUUUGCUGUCUACUCCCAAAAUACUGUGCCUAUGAGCCCCUGCUGAGCCACCUCCAUGAUCAUCUCCCUCCAGCUGCCAACAAGAUAAUCUGCUGGAACACAUCCUGCCCCAUAAAAUAGGCACUGGUGUUUACAGGAUCAGAGGCAGUGGACAAGCUGUGUCUGAGGUGGAGAGUUAGAUGCUCAGGAGGACAGAGUGUGACACUAUGCCUCACUGGUGGAAGUGCCUCUGCUGAAGGCUGAGGGCUAAAGUCCUGAAAGCACAGAAAUCAUUAGUAUUGUUCUUGUCUGGAAACAAACUUCACAAAAGAAGUUUAAGAAGCCCAUAAAAGAUUUCAUGGAAUUAAAGGCAAACUUAAAGAACAGAGGCCAGAGUAAAACUUUUUGACAGGAGCUGCAGAACAAACAAGCUAAUUUCAGAAACUCCUGGAUAUUUAUUGGUGAAUCAUGAAUCCAGAUGGCAUGGCUGUCCUCCUGGAUGACUGUAAGGAUGGUUUGACCCCAUAUAUGAUUUUCUUUAAGAAUAGUUUAUAAAUGGAUCUUUCACCUGUCAUAACUGGCUACUGCUUGUCAUCCAGGUGGAGGUAGGACUUAAGACAAAUGGAACUGAUGUCACCUUGAGCUUUUUAUUUAUUCUGACCUGAUUUAUUAGGAGUGGAAACAUGGUUUAGAAAAGUAAACAUAUUUAAGCUGGGCAUGGUGGCGCACACCUGUAAUCCCAGUACUUGGGAGGCUGAGGCCGGAGGAGUGCAGCAGGUUCCAGGCCAGCCUGGGCUACGUAGUGAGACCCUGUCUCAAACGAAAGAAAGAGAAAGGGAGGGAGGAAGGAAAAAACAUAUUUAACAUCUAGGUUUUUGAAACAUACAAUGCAUUUAACUUAAACAGUUGUAGCUUCCUUAUCACUGACUUGGCUAGUUGCAGAUGAGAAAAGUGCACUGAUUUUUUUCUUGUUUUUGAAUAAGUUCUAGGAAUUAUUCAUUCUCUGUCUCCCAGGCAUUUGUUUUUAGCCUCAGACUUGGGAAGUUAUGUCUUAGGCAUUUUUAAAAAAAGUUUUAUUUAUUUUUUAUUUUUUAUUUUUGUUAAAUUCUUUUAUUGGUACAUUUUAGGUAUACAACACAAUUACAUUUCUCAUUGGGAAUUGUACCUUUACAUAAUGCAUCUUGGUUCUUAUUUUUUCCCCAUUCCUAUCCCUCCCUUCCCUAUUUACAAAGACUUUAUUUCCAUUUUUUCCAUUUCUCAGCAUUUUUCCUUUCCCUUCUUUCCUUUCCCCUGCCAGUCCCACUACCCCUACCCCUUUGGACCUUUUCUUCCUAUUUUGCAUUAUCAAUUAUUCAUUCUAAUUAUUGGUACAUUUUAGGUAUACAAUAUGAUGACAUUUAUCAUUGGAAAUU